rnacentral:tRNA from 1 species
AUGCUAAAAGCUAAAAAGCGUUAGCUUUGAAGGGGCUAAAUUUUAAAAGCAUA